CACGCCUAAACCCGGCAAUAGAAUUUUAAAUUACGAAACGUUACAGUAUUAGUGAAUACUUUUUUGUACUUUGGAAUUCCAAUUUAAAGAUGUCGCGUGUGCAGCAAAACGAUCUGCUCCUACACGAGGCGGUAAUCAAAAACGAACCAGCUGCCGUCAUAGAGGCGCUGCAGCGGCCAACUGACGUCAACUGCAGAAAUAAUUACGGCAGGGCGCCGAUACACUGGGCGGCAAGCAGAGGAAACGUCGACAUAAUCAAAUUACUUAUUGAAGCGAAAUGCGACAUAGAAGCAGCUGAUAAGUUCGGAAUGCGGCCGUUGCUAAUGGCAGCAUGGCAUGGUCAUCUCGAAGCCGUAAAAACUCUCGUCUCUGCGGGCGCCUGUCUAGCUGCUACUAACAAGAAACACAACGACCUUCUGCAGUGUGCUUGUUCCCGGGGCUCGCUAGAUGUUGCAGCGUAUGCAAUCUCACUAGGAUCCAACGUACAGGGGUGCGACGCGGCUGGCGACGCACCGUUGGCGUUAGCAUCUCGUGCUGGUCAUGCUGCCCUGGUAGAUCUACUACUGGAGAAGGGAGCGGACAUUGAUGCUAUCAAUAAGGUGGGUCGCACAGCGCUCCAUGUGGCUUGCGAAGGUGGCCACUGCACCACUGCUGCUCUCCUAAUAGACAAGGGUGCAACGAGAGAGGCCAGGGACAACUCUGGCCGGACCCCACUCCAUUUGGCGGCUGUCCAUCGGCAUACGGAGCUUGUGAGGGUACUGUUGGAAUCACAGUGCCACGUGGACGCCACAGAUAACAAUGGUGUAACCGCAUUGCAAAUGGCAUGCGCUCAGGGCUGUCACGGCAUCGUGGAGCAUCUCCUCGCAUUUGGUGCCAACGUGCAUUUACAAAACAAUGUGGGCUCAUCAGCUCUACAUGCUGCAUGUGCUGCCGAUGCCACCCACAUCGUAGAACUGUUGCUGGCGCGAGGUGCUGAUCCUACCGUCACUGAUCAGUGGUCACAGUCUCCCGUGAGUGUGGCGGGGGGCGCUGCUGAAUCCCCACCCGAGGGCUUCAGACGAGCUGCAAGAGGCUCCUUCUCCGCCAUCUUGGAUUUACUCACCGCCACUACUAACUUGGAUCAACGACAGGAUCAAUCGGACGGGUCUACGACACCUCGCAACGACAAGUCUGGUGGACACUCACCCGCUACUAAUGAAGCUUACUCGCUGCAGGUGCAGAACACGACAGCGAGCGGUGAUGGUCAGCUACGGCGCUACUAGAUCGACUCGCGCAGCGCGGAUUUGCAGCGGACACUCGACUGGCACUGCCCCCCACAGGAUGCGCCCGUUACAGAGAGUUAUGCUACCGCGCGGCGCACGCGCACCUCCCCGAGGAAGCCGCUGCACGCGCCUGCGACUGCGCCAACUGCACUGCACGCCGCAACUCCACCGCAGAACCAUGAGAUACAUUCCAAGUUCGUCCAACCACAUCCCUGACGCGACCAAUACCCGCCCUGCCCUGCCUGUGGACUCGACGAACAAACUAGCGUAUCCAAUUUCCUUCAGAAAUUCUUAAUUCGACUAUUCCUCAUUUCUCAUAG